UGAUAAUGCACAGUAAAGGUUGAUACAAUCAUUACAAUGUACAGGGUAUUAUACUGAGAAUUCUACUGAUAAUGCACAGUAAAGGUUGAUACAAUCAUUACAAUGUACAGGGUAUUAUAGUGAGAAUUCUACUGAUAAUGCACAGUAAAGGUUGAUACAAUCAUUACAAUGUACAGGGUAUUAUUCUGAGAAUUCUACUGAUAAUGCACAGUAAAGGUUGAUACAAUCAUUACAAUGUACAGGGUAUUAUUCUGAGAAUUCUACUGAUAAUGCACAGUAAAGGUUGAUACAAUCAUUUGUUUCAGAGGAGUUGAGGGAUCCAUUUCUUCAUAACUUCCAUAAUGCAUUUGACCAACGCCAUCUACAAAUGGUUUGUAAGCAGACAGUAAAUUGUAUUUACAUAUAUUAUACCUAAUUUAUAAAUAUACUAAGAAAUUAUACAUUACUAAGAAAUGAAUAGCUGAAAUAUUUACUUAGUCAGCUGUUUAUAAAAAUCUAAUAACAGUUAUUGACUAUCCUAAUAUUCUGCCAAAAACGUGAUAACUAAGGUCAGUAGGCCUAUUUGAAGAUGAG